rnacentral:misc_RNA from 1 species
UCGCAAGUAAUGAGCAUCCCUCUCUUUCUCAGUGAAAGCAAGCCCCUUGUUGUGGUGUGGGUCCCGCAACAAAGUAUACCCACUGGCAACAGAGACAGUCCACGGAGUGAUAAGCUGAUCUUCCGUGGCACUAUCCUCACCAUACAAGUCCUCAACACCUCCACCCACAGUAACAUUCUUCUUCUCCUCCUCCUCCACUGAGUGACCACCAUUUACCAUUGUACUCGCCAUUAAAGCACAAAACUUUCUCUCUACUUCCCUAC